CUAGAACACCAUACCUUAAACCAUCCCCUCUAAUUAUUACUCUGUUUCACAAAAGAUAUUUUUGAAACUCUUCACCUGCAACAAGUUGGGACACAUUUAUAAAGAACUACUUUGUCUUGCCCCAAGAAGAAAAAUCCAACGCCACCCUCCUUUGUCUUCGCUUUCCUAAUUAAGCUAAUUUCUAGCUGCCCUCUAGCCUCUCCGAGCGACCUCUUUUUGAGCACCAAAUACAAAUCCAAGCCUGCCUUUGUCCGUCUCUAAGCACAGUCGACCAAAACAUCACGGAACCCAUCAUCCGCUGCUGUUACCACACGCGAUCACCACCGUAGCCGUCGCCACUGCAGCACCAACGAACGUCCGCGAACCAACCGCAGGUAGCCGCAACCCUUUUGUUAUUGUAUAAGUUCCGUAUACCGAAUCAUUCUAGUCGAAUACGAUUUGUUUAAUCAUGAGAUCUCAUACUCGUUGAGGACAACUUGUAUCUAUAUCAUUUUGCUAAAUUGACUAAAG
rnacentral:lncRNA from 1 species